GUUGAACGCUGGCGGCAGGCCUAACACAUGCAAGUCGAACGGUAACAGGAAGAAGUUUGCUUUCUUGCUGUCGCGUGGCGCACGGGAGUGAAAUGUCUGGGACCCAGCUUGAUGGCGGGGGUUACCUAGUGAAAACGGUACCUAUUACCGCAUAUCGUUGCAAGCCCAAAGUGGGAGAGUUUAGGGCGUUUUGCCUGCGGCUGUUCCCGGAAGGCAUUAGCUAGUAGGUGGGGUAACGGCUCACCUAGGCGACGAUCCCUAGCUGGUCUGAGAGGAUGACCGGCCACACUGGAACUGAGACACGGUCCAGACUCCUACGGGAGGCAGCAGUAGGGAAUAUUGCGCAAUGGGCGAAAGCCUGAUGGAGCAAUGCCGCGUGUAUGAAGAAGGCCUUCGGAUUGUAAAGUUCUGUCAGCGGGGAGGAAGGAAGGAGAAUGAAUACCUUCACUCAUUGACGUUACCCGCAGAGGAAGCACCGGCUAACUCCGUG
rnacentral:rRNA from 1 species